rnacentral:rRNA from 1 species
UACGUAGGGUGCGAGCGUUGUCCGGAAUUAUUGGGCGUAAAGAGCUCGUAGGCGGCUUGUCGCGUCGGAUGUGAAAGCCCGGGGCUUAACCCCGGGUCUGCAUUCGAUACGGGCAGGCUAGAGUUCGGUAGGGGAGAUCGGAAUUCCUGGUGUAGCGGUGAAAUGCGCAGAUAUCAGGAGGAACACCGGUGGCGAAGGCGGAUCUCUGGGCCGAUACUGACGCCGAGGAGCGAAAGCGUGGGGAGCGAACAGG